CAAUAGCGUAUAUUAAAGUUGUUGCAGUUAAAAAGCUCGUAGUUGAAGUUCUGACAGUCAUCCGCUUGCAAGCAUAUGUUCGACCUUAAACAGUUGGCUAUGUGAGUAAGCAUUUUACCUUGAGAAAACAGAGUGUUCCAGGCAGGUUUGUCCGGGAUGCAUUAGCAUGGAAUAAUAGAACAUGACUGAAGUCUAUUUAUUGGUUUAAGGCUUUAGUAAUGAUUAAUAGGAACAGUCGGGGGCAUUCGUACUCAGCAGUCAGAGGUGAAAUUCUAAGAUUUGCUGAAGACGAACUAAUGCGAAAGCAUUUGCCAAGGAUGUUUUCAUUAAUCAAGAACGAAAGUUAGGGGAUCAAAGACGAUCAGAUACCGU
rnacentral:rRNA from 1 species